GACGAACGCUGGCGGCGUGCCUAAUACAUGCAAGUAGAACGCUGAAGGGAGAGCUUGCUCUUCUGGAUGAGUUGCGAACGGGUGAGUAACGCGUAGGUAACCUGCCUGGUAGCGGGGGAUAACUAUUGGAAACGAUAGCUAAUACCGCAUAACAUUGACUAUUGCAUGAUAGUCAAUUAAAAGGUGCAAUUGCACCACUACCAGAUGGACCUGCGUUGUAUUAGCUAGUUGGUGGGGUAACGGCUCACCAAGGCGACGAUACAUAGCCGACCUGAGAGGGUGAUCGGCCACACUGGGACUGAGACACGGCCCAGACUCCUACGGGAGGCAGCAGUAGGGAAUCUUCGGCAACGGACGGAAGUCUGACCGAGCAACGCCGCGUGAGUGAAGAAGGUUUUCGGAUCGUAAAGCUCUGUUGUAAGAGAAGAAACGAGUGUGAGAGUGGAAAG
rnacentral:rRNA from 1 species